CCGGUCGACGGGAGGCAGCAGUGGGGAAUUUUCCGCAAUGGGCGAAAGCCUGACGGAGCAAGACCGCGUGGGGAAGAAGGCUCUUGGGUUGUAAACCCCUUUUCUCUGGGAAGAAAGUUGUGAAAGCAACCUGACGGUACCAGAGGAAUCAGCAUCGGCUAACUCCGUGCCAGCAGCCGCGGUAAGACGGAGGAUGCAAGCGUUAUCCGGAAUGAUUGGGCGUAAAGCGUCCGCAGGUGGCAGUUCAAGUCUGCUGUCAAAGACCGGGGCUUAACUUCGGAGAGGCAGUGGAAACUGAACAGCUAGAGUAUGGUAGGGGCAGAGGGAAUUCCUGGUGUAGCGGUGAAAUGCGUAGAGAUCAGGAAGAACAUCGGUGGCGAAGGCGCUCUGCUGGACCAUAACUGACACUCAGGGACGAAAGCUAGGGGAGCGAAUGGGAUUAGAUACCCUGGUAGUCCACGCCGUAAACGAUGUGUACUAGGUGUUGGGGAGCAAAGCUCUUCGGUGCCGUCGCAAACGCAGUAAGUACACCACCUGGGGAGUACGUUCG
rnacentral:rRNA from 1 species